rnacentral:rRNA from 1 species
UACGUAGGGUGCAAGCGUUGUCCGGAAUUAUUGGGCGUAAAGAGCUCGUAGGCGGUUUGUUGCGUCGGCUGUGAAAUCCCGAGGCUCAACCUCGGGUCUGCAGUCGAUACGAGCAAACUAGAGUGUUGCAGGGGAGACUGGAAUUCCCGGUGUAGCGGUGGAAUGCGCAGAUAUCAGGAGGAACACCGAUGGCGAAGGCAGCUCGCUGGGACGGUACUGACGCUGAGGCGCGAAAGCGUGGGGAGCAAACAGG